rnacentral:rRNA from 1 species
CCUACGGGUGGCUGCAGUGAGGAAUAUUGGUCAAUGGGCGAGAGCCUGAACCAGCCAAGUCGCGUGAGGGAGUACUGCCCUAUGGGUUGUAAACCUCUUUUGUCGGGGAGCAAAAGCCGGACGUGUCCGGCUGUGAGAGUACCCGAAGAAAAAGCAUCGGCUAACUCCGUGCCAGCAGCCGCGGUAAUACGGGGGAUGCGGGAGUUAUCCGGAGUUAUUGGGUUUAAAGGGGGCGCAGGCGGAUUUUUAAGUCAGGGGUAAAAUGGUGGGGCUCAACCCCAUCGAGCCGUUGAAACUGGGGGUCUAGAGUUGGCGAGAGGUACGCGGAAGGCGCGGGGUAGCGGUGAAAUGCAUAGAUAUCGCGCAGAACCCCGAUUGCGAAGGCAGCGUACCGGUGCAAAACUGACGCUGAGGCACGAAAGCGUGGGUAUCGAACAGGAUUAGAUACCCGAGUAGUC